GAUGAAGAACGCAGCGAAAUGCGAUACGUAAUGUGAAUUGCAGAAUUCAGUGAAUCAUCGAGUCUUUGAACGCACAUUGCGCCCCCUGGUAUUCCGGGGGGCAUGCCUGUCCGAGCGUCAUUGCUGCCCUCAAGCACGGCUUGUGUGUUGGGCCUCCGUCCUCCUCCCGGGGGACGGGCCCGAAAGGCAGCGGCGGCACCGCGUCCGGUCCUCGAGCGUAUGGGGCUUCGUCACCCGCUCUUGUAGGCCCGGCCGGCGCUUGCCGACACAUCAAUCUUUUUUCCAGGUUGACCUCGGAUCAGGUAGCGAUACCCGCUGAACUUAAGCAUAUCAAUAAGCGGAGGA
rnacentral:misc_RNA from 1 species